rnacentral:lncRNA from 1 species
UUACUUUUUCUUUUAAACUUUUUAAAACUUUUUUUUUUUUAGAGAGAGAUAGAUAGCACACUACCCGCUUUGUUUAUUUCAUUUAGAAAUAAACUUAGCUGGAAAUGUGAAUCAACUAGGAUUCGAACUUGGAUCUCGGGUACCAACCACCAAGCACUUUGCCACUUGCUCUAGGGACAGUCGGUAAAAAAACUUAUAUUUUACUCCCUAAAUAUUUCAAGCUAUUACAUUUAUUCCCCAUUCCAUUAGAGUUCUAUUAUUAUUCCGUCUAUUUCUUAUAAUUUAUAUUGAAAAUGCCCUUCCAAAUGACUGUAAUAUAUUAAAAAAAAUUAUAAAAAAAGUAAGGGCAAUUUGAUCAUUUUACUCUCUCCAUUAACAUCAUAUCCGCCUGAAAAUAUUUUUGAAAUUUUAAGAAGGCAAAAUAUAGAUGUUUGAAAGGCAUAAAGAAAAAGUAAAAAAUGGAUAUUUAUAGUUGGAUUUUCUUUAAUUU